rnacentral:rRNA from 1 species
ACAAUGAAGAGUUUGAUCCUGGCUCAGGAUGAACGCUAGCUACAGGCUUAACACAUGCAAGUCGAGGGGCAGCAUUUCAGUUUGCUUGCAAACUGGAGAUGGCGACCGGCGCACGGGUGAGUAACACGUAUCCAACCUGCCGAUAACUCGGGGAUAGCCUUUCGAAAGAAAGAUUAAUACCCGAUGGCAUAAUUAGACCGCAUGGUCUUAUUAUUAAAGAAUUUCGGUUAUCGAUGGGGAUGCGUUCCAUUAGGCAGUUGGUGAGGUAACGGCUCACCAAACCUUCGAUGGAUAGGGGUUCUGAGAGGAAGGUCCCCCACAUUGGAACUGAGACACGGUCCAAACUCCUACGGGAGGCAGCAGUGAGGAAUAUUGGUCAAUGGGCGCAGGCCUGAACCAGCCAAGUAGCGUGAAGGAUGACUGCCCUAUGGGUUGUAAACUUCUUUUAUAUGGGAAUAAAGUUUUCCACGUGUGGAAUUUUGUAUGUACCAUAUGAAUAAGGAUCGGCUAACUCCGUGCCAGCAGCCGCGGUAAUACGGAGGAUCCGAGCGUUAUCCGGAUUUAUUGGGUUUAAAGGGAGCGUAGGUGGACAGUUAAGUCAGUUGUGAAAGUUUGCGGCUCAACCGUAAAAUUGCAGUUGAUACUGGCUGUCUUGAGUACAGUAGAGGUGGGCGGAAUUCGUGGUGUAGCGGUGAAAUGCUUAGAUAUCACGAAGAACUCCGAUUGCGAAGGCAGCUCACUGGACUGCAACUGACACUGAUGCUCGAAAGUGUGGGUAUCAAACAGGAUUAGAUACCCUGGUAGUCCACACAGUAAACGAUGAAUACUCGCUGUUUGCGAUAUACAGUAAGCGGCCAAGCGAAAGCAUUAAGUAUUCCACCUGGGGAGUACGCCGGCAACGGUGAAACUCAAAGGAAUUGACGGGGGCCCGCACAAGCGGAGGAACAUGUGGUUUAAUUCGAUGAUACGCGAGGAACCUUACCCGGGCUUAAAUUGCAUUUGAAUAAUCUGGAAACAGGUUAGCCGCAAGGCAAAUGUGAAGGUGCUGCAUGGUUGUCGUCAGCUCGUGCCGUGAGGUGUCGGCUUAAGUGCCAUAACGAGCGCAACCCUUAUCUUUAGUUACUAACAGGUCAUGCUGAGGACUCUAGAGAGACUGCCGUCGUAAGAUGUGAGGAAGGUGGGGAUGACGUCAAAUCAGCACGGCCCUUACGUCCGGGGCUACACACGUGUUACAAUGGGGGUACAGAAGGCAGCUACCUGGUGACAGGAUGCUAAUCCCAAAAGCCUCUCUCAGUUCGGAUCGAAGUCUGCAACCCGACUUCGUGAAGCUGGAUUCGCUAGUAAUCGCGCAUCAGCCAUGGCGCGGUGAAUACGUUCCCGGGCCUUGUACACACCGCCCGUCAAGCCAUGAAAGCCGGGGGUACCUGAAGUACGUAACCGCAAGGAGCGUCCUAGGGUAAAACUGGUAAUUGGGGCUAAGUCGUAACAAGGUAGCCGUACCGGAAGGUGCGGCUGGAACACCUCCUUU